rnacentral:rRNA from 1 species
UACGGGGGGGGCAAGCGUUGUUCGGAAUUACUGGGCGUAAAGGGCUCGUAGGCGGCCAACUAAGUCGGACGUGAAAUCCCCCGGCUCAACUGGGGAACUGCACGGGAAACAGCAGGGCUUGAGUUCGGGAGAGGGAAGCGGAAUUCCGGGUGUAGCGGUGAAAUGCGUAGAUAUCCGGAGGAACACCGGUGGCGAAGGCGGCUUCCUGGACCGAUACUGACGCUGAGGCGCGAAAGCUAGGGGAGCAAACGGG